CUGGCGUUAAUAUGGUCGGGGCUAUUGAUUGCAGCCACAUAGGCAUCUCCAAGCCAGUUGGCCCAACACCAGUUAUUUCCUGAACAGGAAAAAAUAGAUACUCCAUUUUUCUUGGAAAGUCUGCUGGAUGAUGUUUUUCUUCAGUAAAAUAAAUGAAGGCAAAUUCCCUGAUAACUGAGACAAAUUCAGAGAGAGGAAGGAGAACUACUGAGCUGCUGAAUUUAUGACAGACAUACUUGCAAGGACUAUGAAGUUCUACUUAGCCUCUUCAAUGAACCAGACUCCAUCUGCUGUAACUGUGACUGCAUGGGGAUCAAAACCUUUGUAUUAUAAUCCUCAUAACAUGAAGCUAUGGUAACAAACAAGCAACCAUUGAUAAAAAGCCUGAUAUGUCCUUGUUGUGUGUGUGAACCACAAAGCAACCAUCACUCAUAAGGAUAUUUUUAUGUACAUCAGAUGUUCAUUGUUUCACUGGAAAAAUUGUGAUUUUGAUUCAUUUAAGAAAUCUUGUUUUAUAAUGUGUUUUAUAAUAUAGUGCAAGUCAUGAUAUAACAGAUUCCCUGCAAAAGAAACACGGCUAAAAAGUAGACUAUGCUUUGUUUUAAAAAAAUGGGAGA